GAAAAGCAACCCAGCCCAGGGAAACACGCAAGUGCCAAGCCAAGGUUACAAAGUCUUACAGUCAUCUGAGCCUCAACAACCAAAUCACCAAUAUGAAAGUAGUAGAUCCUGGAACAGAGAUGUGAGGCUCAGCCCAGAAGCGAGGCUAGCCCAUCUAGCCCUCCAAAAAACCAACCAAAGAGAAAAUAACCUCGACAAGCAAACAAAGGAGAUUUGCUGCAAUAUGAACAUGAGUGCUCACAGGAGACAUCUGUCCUAAACCAGAAUCUGCAUUUCAAAAAGGAAGAGGAGGAGGAAGAAGAGGCAGCAGCAACAGUAACAACAACGACAACAAAGUAGACUAAAGUCACACCUAAAAUUUCUUCAGGCAAAGAUAGAAUCAAGCAACAAGUAUCCAGGUCACUUUACAUAAGCUGGGAAGGUGUCAGACAGAAACACUCCCCGGAAUCUCAGAAGUCAUUCUGAUUCACACAGACUUCUCCACAGGUGGAACGGCAAGCAAUGAGAAAUAUGCAGACAUUGAGACUUUCCACUCAGUCCUGACGAACUCUCUAGGCUUGGAUGGAGAAGAGACAGGUCCCACAAGGUCAACUGGUUCAGUCAGCUGCAUUCGGGCUGUUUCCUCAUCUGUGAAGGAGUACUAGUGGUAGUGUCUUACUUAUCUCUUAGGCUCAUGGAAAAAAUGAAUGGAGAAGGCACUGCCCAGGGCAG
rnacentral:lncRNA from 1 species